rnacentral:rRNA from 1 species
UGAGUAACCUGCCCUUCACUCUGGGAUAACUCCGGGAAACCGGGGCUAAUACUGGAUAUGACUCGAACAGGCAUCUGUUUCGGGUGGAAAGAUUUAUUGGUGGAGGAUGGACUCGCGGCCUAUCAGCUUGUUGGUGAGGUAAUGGCUCACCAAGGCGACGACGGGUAGCCGGCCUGAGAGGGUGACCGGCCACACUGGGACUGAGACACGGCCCAGACUCCUACGGGAGCA